rnacentral:rRNA from 1 species
UGCUACAGGCUUAACACAUGCAAGUCGAGGGGCAUCAGGAAGAAAGCUUGCUUUCUUUGCUGGCGACCGGCGCACGGGUGAGUAACACGUAUCCAACCUGCCCUUUACUCGGGGAUAGCCUUUCGAAAGAAAGAUUAAUACCCGAUGGCAUAAUGAUUCCGCAUGGUUUCAUUAUUAAAGGAUUCCGGUAAAGGAUGGGGAUGCGUUCCAUUAGGUUGUUGGUGAGGUAACGGCCCACCAAGCCUUCGAUGGAUAGGGGUUCUGAGAGGAAGGUCCCCCACAUUGGAACUGAGACACGGUCCAAACUCCUACGGGAGGCAGCAGUGAGGAAUAUUGGUCAAUGGGCGGUAGCCUGAACCAGCCAAGUAGCGUGAAGGAUGAAGGCUCUAUGGGUCGUAAACUUCUUUUAUAUAAGAAUAAAGUGCAGUAUGUAUACUGUUUUGUAUGUAUUAUAUGAAUAAGGAUCGGCUAACUCCGUGCCAGCAGCCGCGGUAAUACGGAGGAUCCGAGCGUUAUCCGGAUUUAUUGGGUUUAAAGGGAGCGUAGGUGGACUGGUAAGUCAGUUGUGAAAGUUUGCGGCUCAACCGUAAAAUUGCAGUUGAUACUGUCAGUCUUGAGUACAGUAGAGGUGGGCGGAAUUCGUGGUGUAGCGGUGAAAUGCUUAGAUAUCACGAAGAACUCCGAUUGCGAAGGCAGCUCACUGGACUGCAACUGACACUGAUGCUCGAAAGUGUGGGUAUCAAACAGGAUUAGAUACCCUGGUAGUCCACACAGUAAACGAUGAAUACUCGCUGUUUGCGAUAUACAGUAAGCGGCCAAGCGAAAGCAUUAAGUAUUCCACCUGGGGAGUACGCCGGCAACGGUGAAACUCAAAGGAAUUGACGGGGGCCCGCACAAGCGGAGGAACAUGUGGUUUAAUUCGAUGAUACGCGAGGAACCUUACCCGGGCUUAAAUUGCAGUGGAAUGAUGUGGAAACAUGUCAGUGAGCAAUCACCGCUGUGAAGGUGCUGCAUGGUUGUCGUCAGCUCGUGCCGUGAGGUGUCGGCUUAAGUGCCAUAACGAGCGCAACCCUUAUCUUCAGUUACUAACAGGUCAUGCUGAGGACUCUGGAGAGACUGCCGUCGUAAGAUGUGAGGAAGGUGGGGAUGACGUCAAAUCAGCACGGCCCUUACGUCCGGGGCUACACACGUGUUACAAUGGGGGGUACAGAAGGCAGCUAGCGGGUGACCGUAUGCUAAUCCCAAAAGCCUCUCUCAGUUCGGAUCGAAGUCUGCAACCCGACUUCGUGAAGCUGGAUUCGCUAGUAGUCGCGCAUCAGCCACGGCGCGGUGAAUACGUUCCCGGGCCUUGUACACACCGCCCGUCAAGCCAUGGGAGCCGGGGGUACCUGAAGUACGUAACCGCAAGGAUCGUCCUAGGGUAAAACUGGUGACUGGG